GGCAGACGCUGCUCCGUUUGGCUCUGGAAGAAAAAGGAGGGCAAAUGAGCAGUGUGGAUAUGAGGAGAUGAGGAGAUGCCGUCUACAGCGAGAAAAAAAGAAAACAAGCUGGAACUUGUGGAAAAUCGAGUCUGUAGUAAAUUGUUGCCGACAGAUGGAUGCAACAAAACAGGAAGAAUCACUAAUCACGAAGGGAAGAAGAAGCACUGGCCGUACAGGGAGUGAAUCUUGUCACAAGUCUCAAUCAAAUAUGGAGGGAUGGAUCAAUAAGGGGAGAUUUGCUUGAUGUCUUUCCUUAUGCGACUCACUGGGAUGAUAUAUCGGCCUUUUCUGGAGAAACCCAAUGAGGAAACUUUAUCCAUGUAACAAGAAGAAGAAUCCACUUUCUUGUGACCUACUUGAGACUGUGAGCUAUGAAAUGUUUUUUCAAUAAACUGCUCCGCCUCGU